rnacentral:pre_miRNA from 1 species
UUCUUGCAGCUUUCCAAAAAAAUUAGCCUUUUGCGGUGAAAUUUUCCAUGCUUAGUUUCAGCCCAAAGGAGAUUAUUUUUGCAAAGUUUGAGA